AUCUCCAGCCUUACCACCUUGAACACACAUGAUUUGUUUGAUCUCAGAAGCUAAGCAGGAAUAGACCUAGUUAGUACCUGGAUGUU
rnacentral:rRNA from 1 species